CAGAGCUCCCACUCACGCUGCAGCUUCAGGAAACACAUCCACUCAGCAUGGCCCUGGGCCCCUCAGGGGCCUGGGAAGGCCGGGUCUAUUCCAGCUUUAUCAAGGACCAGUGAUGGGUGAUGCCUUCCAAGGCAGCUCCUUGAGGUGGUGGGCACGAUACCUGUCCGUGGUGCCAACGGCAAACAGGCCUGGAAAGACCAGUGCUGCACUGCAGCCGACGAGAGCUGCGUUACAGUCAAGAGGAGCUUCCUCGCUCUGCUGGGGCUCGGACACACCUUCCAAGAAGGAUCAAACAUCACCAACUGACCAGAUACCAUCCUGUCUAAACAGGAAAUUCCCAACCCUGACCUCCACCUUCUCCUUCCGUCCUCCCCCACAUCUUCUUUACCCCUUGA